rnacentral:rRNA from 1 species
AAUGAACGCUGGCGGCGUGGUUAAGACAUGCAAGUCGAACGGUUUUCAUUGAAGGGCAACCGGAUAUGAAAGCAGUGGCGAACGGGUGCGUAACACGUGAACAAUCUACCUCCAAGUGGGGAAUAGCUCGCCGAAAGGCGAAUUAAUACCGCAUGUGGUAGUUUCUCGCAUGAGAGACUUACUAAAGUCAGGGACCGCAAGGCCUGACGCUGGGAGAGGAGUUCGCGGCCUACAGCUAGUUGGCGAGGUAACGGCUCACCAGGGCUAAGACGGGUAGCUGGUCUGAGAGGAUGAUCAGCCACACUGGAACUGGGACACGGUCCAGACACCUACGGGU